UACGUAGGGUGCGAGCGUUGUCCGGAAUUAUUGGGCGUAAAGAGCUCGUAGGCGGUGUGUCGCGUCGGCCGUGAAAACCUGCAGCUUAACGUGUGGCUUGCGGUCGAUACGGGCAUCACUGGAGUUCGGCAGGGGAGACUGGAAUUCCUGGUGUAGCGGUGAAAUGCGCAGAUAUCAGGAGGAACACCGGUGGCGAAGGCGGGUCUCUGGGCCGGAUACUGACGCUGAGGAGCGAAAGCGUGGGGAGCGAACAGG
rnacentral:rRNA from 1 species